rnacentral:sRNA from 1 species
GCUGGGUGUGGCGCUGCACAACUGUAAUCCUAGUGGCUUGGGAGGCUGAGGCAGGAGGAUCACUGAGUUCAAAGCUGCAAGGCCCUAAGCAAUUUAGCAAGACCUUGUCUCUA